GCCUCUUCCAGGCCUGGUGCGUAAGUCUACCCCACACAGUCCUUUGCGAUUUUCCUCUCCCACUUUGGGAGCCAGUGGAUGAAGAGGGUGGAACCAUAGAAUAGAAGGAACCCAGAUACAGAUCACUGUUCAGAGGAGAGCUGCCUGCCAGUCAGGAAGACCCAUUUUGGACUUUAUAAAUGCUCUGACCUUAAAAGGAAUAUUGGAGGCAGGAGGAAACAGAGGAAGCAAGAAGAAUUUCCUGGAAGGUAAUUAUUGUAAUAUAAGCAUACUUCGGAGAUAUUGCAGGUUCCGUUCCAGACCACUGCAACAGUGAAUAUCUCAAUCAAGAAGAUGACCACGGCCCCUCUGUUCCCUCGCCUGUGUGCCAAAUGGAUCCACAGCUAGAGACAAGCUCCUUCCCUUUGAACGGUGGGAAGCAGGCCAAGAUGUUUUAAAGACAGAUGGCAUCAGAUGCAGAGAAGCAAGCUGGAACUCGGAGCACAGCUGCCUUAUUUACUUACCUACUGGCUGCAUUUCUGAGAACCAGUUUUAUUCCUGUUCAAAGGAAGCCAGGCAGAGUUGGGAAAAUAUUUUCCUAGCCAGCUCCUUAGCACCACUGUCUGAGGGAAACCAUCUGGCCAAGAUGCCCUUCAAGUGAGUAAAUGCAGUAUUGCCCUCUCCCUGCACAGGGGAGGGGGCAUGCACCAGACAGGGAAAAUGGCAGGCUCCUGGGGUGGGCUGAAGCUGUGGUUCUUCCCACUGACCCUCCUGGGCCCCUGGAGUCCAGUGAUGUGCUGGUAAAGGUUUAACAAUCAGCUGUCUGGGAGGUAGGGGUGGGGCAUUGCCUUGCAGUGUUUGCUGAUUUCCAUGGCCUGUUUGGAACUACCAAAGUGAAGUCACUGAGUGUGGGGUUAGGAGGAGAUGCCCAGGAGUACCCCAUUUCAGAGUAUUUCUACCACGUAGAUGCAGUAGGGGGUAUGUAACCUCAAGAGUGAAGAUACUAAUCAAUACAGUAAAAUAAUUAGCAAGUGAUGAGUUUUGAGUACUUAUUACUUUUAUUUUUAAUGUGAUAUAAUUUUAAGUUUAUAUAAUUUAUUUUCAAAUGACAUAUGCCUUUAACAACUGGCUCUCAGAGUUCUGGAAAAUUUCACUGUCAGUUCUUGCAAGGCAGGAUGGGCUGGCUCCGGAGCACUGCUGCUGGAGUCCCUCUUUUACUUAGAGUCAGAGAAUAAAUAUGCCAGUGUUAAGAUCACUCCCUUUAGAAGCUCAGGGCGUAUCAUGGGAGAUUUAGUGAGGGCUCUACUUCCUUAAGGAGAUUUUGUCUUCAGAAGGCAGAAUAGACACCUGCUUGGGAAAGAACAGAGGUUGAAAAACACCAUGUAUGGGUUUUUUUUUUUUUUUUUUUCGGUUCUACCCACCAUGUGUACUUGACCAAGACAGCACAGCACACAAGUUGCAGGUUCUGCCUUGCCUGGGCAGCUCCUGACUGUAUAUGCUUCAGCUUAUAGAGUCAAAACAACUUGGCAACAUCUAGCUUUAUUCCUCCGGGACCCUUGUGCUCUAAGGAUAGUUCUCUGGCUGCAGUACCCUGGCAUUUUCCAGGUCUCAAGCUCUAGCCUCUUUACCAGUUUAGCAGGAUGGUGCUAGUGGGUCUGUGGCCAUAAGAUUUUCCAUUAUUUCCUACAGCUUGUCUAGAGGAGUUGGGAUAUUUCUUGUCUCCCAGAACUCUCUCAUGGGAAAAAUUCUUACAUGAGAGACAGAACACUUUACCCAACUGGAGUCAGGGAAAGUUACACAUCUGUCCUGACCUCUGAGCUUCUGAAAAAUCACUGAGCUUUAUCAAAAGCACACAGGUCCAGAAGUGGAAAUUUAUAAGACAAAAGAAAAUAGGAAAUGAAAGUUGGAGGGGAAACCCUCUUAGUGUUGUUGCAAUGCCAAGAACUGGGGGAGGGUUUACGGCUCUAGUAGUUUGCUGAAGGAUGAACAGGACAUGCCAGGGACCAGAGGGUCAGAACAACAGAUAAUCAGAAAUGAAGAGGUCAAUGGGUGGGAAAGUAGGAGUGAAUGGUGUUGAUAGAUUUGUUUCUACCAUUUUAGGGUUGUUCUGUAAUGGCUGCCUAUAGUCACAAUCACGCCCACAAUUCUUCCUACUCAUUAAGACCUCUGCUACCCUAGCCCUGAAAUUUUCCUUCAUCCCCUCCUGUCUUCACUUCCUUCCUAACCCAGUAUAGAUUCUAUGGCCCUUCAUAACCACCCCUUUGGGCAUGUCCUGGUCUUCCUCCAACAUACCUUCCCAGCAAAACCCUAACCUUAUGUAGAUCCAGCUCUCUGCUCAUUCUAUACCAUUCCAAGAAAGCAAACGUGGCCAGAGGAAAACCGCAACCGUGUGGACUGAUUCUACCCUGAAUACAAGAUGAUGCAUCUCUAACGAGGCUCAGAACUGCCUGGAAGUCCAGCUACACUUCCCUAGUCAAUCCACGCCCUCAAUCCCCAGCUACAGUGGACCAACAGCCCUUACUCCUAUUGAGGCAGCUCCCCCACCCCCAUCCCCACUUAAACAUUGGAUCGAUCCCAUCUCCUGUCUACUUGGGACCUUUGGUCCUGCUGAUAUCCCCUCUCCCUCUUGAAACAUCACUUAUUUCCUUUCUACUGAAUCAAAACUCCAAAUUUCUUAUGACAUUUAAACUUCUCCUCUCUCUCAGCCUUUGUCUGCAUCAGGCCAGGAGCUGCAGUGGGGAAUAAUGGAUGGUGAUGAACUUCAUCUGUUUCCCUGCUGUGUACAUCUCCUCCUCCUCCCCUUCUCACUAGGCUGCCUCUUGUCCUCUGGGGCUGCUGCUCUGGGAGAGGGAGGAGAUGCAAAGAGCAGGAAAGGUCUUGCUCGGCUGGUACUGUUGUAGGAUAGCACAGAAUUUUCUGGCCUUGGCAGGUGUUUAAAGCUGACUUUCUUCUCUUGGGUCUUACAUAGGUUUCUUACACAGGGGUUGGGCUUCUCUGCUGGCAGCUUCCUUGAUACUGACCCUGCCUUUCCUCCAGCUCUCCAUUCAUCACCCCUCCCUUAGCGCCUAUGCAUCCUUUAGUCCACACCAUACAGACUCUUGUGGGGACCCCAUUGUUCCUCCAGGCAGGCUAUAUGAACAGCAUCCCCAGGCCACCAUCCCUUGCUGGGCUCUCAUCAGCAUUUUGGUCCUACUGUCAUGGGAUUACGGCUACUUCCCAACACAACAGUCUUUACUUGGCUAUGCCCAGGCAGAUAACCAGCCACAGGUUCUUGCCUUCAUUACCUUUGCAGGCGUGGGUCCAGCUCCAGUCGCUUAUUUCUAUUAUGGUCGCCAAGUGGUUCCUGAAAGCCCCAAUCACUUGUUUUCAUGUGAAGGGCAGGCUUCUUCCUCAGAACAUUUCUCCAUCUUUCUCCAAGGAAAUCAAGUUCUGUCUCUCUCCACUUACUCCCCACUUUCCAUCUCAAUCUUUAACACCUGUAAGUGCUUGAUGUGCUCAGGGUUGUAAAGUGGGUUCUUCAAUAUCUCAGUUGUGUGUCCCUUGUAGAUGGUUUAGCCCUCACUCUGGAAUGUGGGCUCAUUUUGCACCUAUCAGUUUGCGCCAAGCCUUUGGGCUCUCCUUCAAAACUGAGGAAGAAAGAGUUGUGUAUUAGCAUCUUGUUUCACACAUCCCUAUCCACCCAUGGCUAUCUCCACAACCCCCAAAUUUGGUUGGCUUCUUCACCAAAUACUUCUCUCUAGGAAUGCUCCUCCAGCACCCCUGACUCAUUGAGCCCAGGCUGGAGUGUAGUGGCGUGAUCUUGGCUCACUGCAGCCUCUGCCUCCCGGGUUCAAGCCAUUGUCCUGCCUCAGCUUCCUGAGUAGCUGGAAUUACAGGUGUGCACCACCACGCCUGGCUAAUUUUUGUAUUUUUAGUAGAGAUGGGGUUUCACCAUGUUGGCCUGGCUGGUCUUGAACUCCUGACCUCACACAAUCCACCCGCCUCGGCCUCCUAAGUGCUGGAAUUACAGGUGUGAGCCACUGUCCCCAGCCCUCUUCCUGACUUUAAAGUUUUCGUUGUAAUUUUCUUUUCUUCUCUUCCUCUGUUUUUUUUUUAAAUUAAUAUUUUAUUUUAUGAUUUGUUUAUGUAAUAG
rnacentral:lncRNA from 1 species